rnacentral:rRNA from 1 species
GAUUAACGCUGGCGGCAUGCCUUACACAUGCAAGUCGAACGGCAGCACGGGUGCUUGCACCUGGUGGCGAGUGGCGAACGGGUGAGUAAUACAUCGGAACGUACCUUAUCGUGGGGGAUAACGCAGCGAAAGCUGUGCUAAUACCGCAUACGCCCUGAGGGGGAAAGCGGGGGAUCGCAAGACCUCGCGCGAUUAGAGCGGCCGAUGCCUGAUUAGCUAGUUGGUGGGGUAAAAGCCCACCAAGGCGACGAUCAGUAGCUGGUCUGAGAGGACGAUCAGCCACACUGGGACUGGAACACGGCCCAGACUCCUACGGGAGGCAGCAGUGGGGAAUUUUGGACAAUGGGGGCAACCCUGAUCCAGCAAGGCCGCGUGAGUGAAGAAGGCCUUCGGGUUGUAAAGCUCUUUUGUCAGGGAAGAAACACCGGCUCUAACACAGUCCGGGAAUGACGGUACCUGAAGAAUAAGCACCGGCUAACUACGUGCCAGCAGCCGCCGCCG